AAAAAAAGUGCAAAGAGAAAUCUCUUGAGGUUAUUUGCAGAAAAGCUUCAUACAAAUUGCUUUCGUUUUCUGGUAGAUAACGUCAUAGCAGUAAGAAAAAGUUGGUGAACUUUUGGUAGUUGUUUUCAAGGAAGAAGCUGAACUGUCAAUUCGAAAUCGCUUUUCCAGUUUACCUAUUGAUUUGAACUUUUUAUUUUGGUAGCUGAGGAAGUUUAGGUAUACAGCGAUUGUUUGGUGUUGCCGGUGCAGUUUAAAGAAAGGCACCUUAGAUGGGUUCAUUGACUAUUACUAAGGAACUUUGAAUAAGUCACGGUGAUUACUACUGUCCAUGGAGGAUAGUGGAAGCAUCACUGAAAUGGUCCUCUCCAAUGGGGAUGCUUAUGUGGGUAGUUUCAAAGGGGUGUUUCCUCAUGGGAAAGGUAAAUACACUUGGUCAGAUGGAUCUGUUUAUGAUGGUUGUUGGGAAGAAGGAAAAAUGUCUGGAGAAGGACGGUUUGUUUGGCCUUCUGGAGCUUCAUACGAGGGUGAUUUCUCUGGAGGUUACCUCCAUGGUUUUGGAGUAUUUAGUGGAUCUGAUGGCUCAGUAUACAGAGGUGUUUGGAGGAUGAAUACCCAACAUGGAAUAGGAAGAAAGCAGUAUCAAAAUUCUGAUAUUUAUGAUGGUUGUUGGA
rnacentral:misc_RNA from 1 species